rnacentral:rRNA from 1 species
AGGGUUUGAUUAUGGCUCAGGAUGAACGCUGGCGGCGUGCCUAACACAUGCAAGUCGAGCGAAGCACUUGCGAAUGAUCCUUCGGGUGAUUUUGCUGGUGACUGAGCGGCGGACGGGUGAGUAACGCGUGGGUAACCUGCCUCAUACAGGGGGAUAACAGUUAGAAAUGACUGCUAAUACCGCAUAAGCGCACAGUACCACAUGGUACGGUGUGAAAAACUCCGGUGGUAUGAGAUGGACCCGCGUCUGAUUAGCUAGUUGGUGGGGUAACGGCCCACCAAGGCGACGAUCAGUAGCCGACCUGAGAGGGUGAUCGGCCACAUUGGGACUGAGACACGGCCCAA